UACGAAGGGGGCUAGCGUUGCUCGGAAUCACUGGGCGUAAAGCGCACGUAGGCGGCUUGUUAAGUCAGGGGUGAAAUCCUGGAGCUCAACUCCAGAACUGCCUUUGAUACUGAUGAGCUUGAGGUCGGGAGAGGUGAGUGGAACUGCGAGUGUAGAGGUGAAAUUCGUAGAUAUUCGCAAGAACACCAGUGGCGAAGGCGGCUCACUGGCCCGAUACUGACGCUGAGGUGCGAAAGCGUGGGGAGCAAACAGG
rnacentral:rRNA from 1 species